rnacentral:rRNA from 1 species
AUUGAACGCUGGCGGCAUGCUUUACACAUGCAAGUCGAACGGCAGCACGGGCUUCGGCCUGGUGGCGAGUGGCGAACGGGUGAGUAAUAUAUCGGAACGUACCCAAGAGUGGGGGAUAACGUAGCGAAAGUUACGCUAAUACCGCAUACGAUCUAAGGAUGAAAGCGGGGGAUCGCAAGACCUCGUGCUCCUGGAGCGGCCGAUAUCUGAUUAGCUAGUUGGUGAGGUAAAGGCUCACCAAGGCGACGAUCAGUAGCUGGUCUGAGAGGACGACCAGCCACACUGGAACGGAGAGACGGUCCAGACUCCUACGGGAGGCAGCAGUGGGGAAUUUUGGACAAUGGGCGCAAGCCUGAUCCAGCAAUGCCGCGUGAGUGAAGAAGGCCUUCGGGUUGUAAAGCUCUUUUGUCAGGGAAGAAACGGUAGGGGCUAAUAUCCCUUGCUAAUGACGGUACCUGAAGAAUAAGCACCGGCUAACUACGUGCCAGCCGCCGCCGUAACAC